rnacentral:rRNA from 1 species
CUCUUCGGGGAUGAUUAAACCGGCGCACGGGUGAGUAACACGUGAGUGACCUGCCUUUUAGACUGGAACAACUUACCGAAAGGUGAGCUAAUGCCGGAUGAGUUAUAUAAGUGCAUGUUUAUAUAGGAAAAGUUGGGGAGACCUGACGCUGAAAGAUGGACUCGCGUCCCAUUAGCUAGUUGGUAGGGUAAUGGCCUACCAAGGCGACGAUGGGUAGCCGGCCUGAGAGGGUGGCCGGCCACACUGGGACUGAGACACGGCCCAGACUCCUACGGGAGGCAGCAGUGGGGAAUUUUGCGCAAUGCUCGUAAGAGUGACGCAGCGACGCCGCGUGAAUGACGAAGGCCUUCGGGUCGUAAAGUUCUUUCGACAGGGAAGAAAAUGCCUAUAAGUAACUGUGUAUGUAUUGACGGUACCUGUAUAAGCAGCCCCGGCUAACUCCGUGCCAGCAGCCGCGGUAAUACGGAGGGGGCGAGCGUUGUUCGGAGUGACUGGGCGUAAAGAGCACGUAGGCGGUGUUGUAAGUCAUUAGUCAAAGACUAGAGCUCAACUUUAGUAAGGCUAGUGAUACUAUAAUACUAGAGUAUCAGAGAGGAUUGCAGAAUUCCUGGUGUAGCGGUGAAAUGCGUAGAUAUCAGGAGGAAUACCGUUAGCGAAGGCGGCAAUCUGGCUGGAAACUGACGCUGAGGUGCGAAAGCGUGGGUAGCAAACAGGAUUAGAUACCCUGGUAGUCCACGCUGUAAACGAUGGAUGCUAGGUGUUGGGCUUUUAAGUUCAGUGCCGCAGCAAACGCGAUAAGCAUCCCGCCUGGGG